UUCUUAUCAUGAGAGGUGGAGGGAUUGGCCCUACGAAACCUCGGCAGCGGGCUCGCAAUCGGAGCACUGUGCCAAAUCCAACAAGCUUUUAGCUUGAGAGAUAAGAA
rnacentral:ncRNA from 2 species